rfam:Selaginella moellendorffii unplaced genomic scaffold SELMOscaffold_477, whole genome shotgun sequence.
CGAUGAAGAACGCAGCGAAAUGCGAUACGUGAUGUGAAUUGCAGAAUUCCGUGAAUCAUCGAAGUUUUGAACGCAACUUGUGCCCGAGGUUCAUCCCGAGGGCAUGCCUGCCUGAGCGUCC